UACAGAGACUGCAAGCGUUAUUCGAAUUCACUGGGCGUAAAGGGUGCGCAGGCGGCCAAGUGUGUCAGGUGUGAAAUCCCGAGGCUUAACCUCGGAACUGCGCCUGAAACUACUUGGCUAGAGUACUGGAGAGGGUAACGGAAUUCACGGUGUAGCAGUGAAAUGCGUAGAUAUCGUGAGGAACACCAGAGGCGAAGGCGGUUACCUGGACAGUUACUGACGCUCAGGCACGAAAGCGUGGGGAGCAAAAGGG
rnacentral:rRNA from 1 species